UUAGAUUAGAAUUUAAGGUUUAACCUGCCCAUUGAUUAUUUAAAAGGCCGCAGUAAAUUGACUGUGCAAAGGUAGCAUAAUCAUUAGUUUUUUAAUUGAAAGCUUGUAUGAAUGGUUGGACGAAAUAUAAUCUGUCUUUAAUUUAUAAGUAGAAUUUAAUUUUUAAGUUAAAAAGCUUAAAUAUUAUUAAAAGACGAGAAGACCCUAUAGAUCUUUAUUUAAUAAUUUAUUUAAUUUUUAAGGAUUAUUAGUUUUUAAAUUAAUUUUUAUAUUUUAUUGGGGUAAUAAAAAGAUUUAAAUAAUUCUUUUUUAUAUUACAUUGAUUAAUGUUUUAAUUGAUCCAUUUUUAUUGAUUUAAGAUUAAGUUACCUUAGGGAUAACAGCGUAAUUUUUUUUGAGAGUUCUUAUCGAUAAAAAAGUUUGCGACCUCGAUGUUGGAUUAAAAUUAAUUUUAGGUGUAGAAGUUUAAAGUUUUAGUCUGUUCGACUAUUAAAAUUUU
rnacentral:rRNA from 1 species